rnacentral:rRNA from 1 species
AUAAAUUAUUUUUGAAUAAAAUAUUGGUUAGUAGUUAUAAAGGUUGGGAUAUUAAAAUGAAUGUUUUGUGUUAGUAUAAGGUUUAGAAAAUUUUUUUUAAUUAGUACUGUGAAGGAAUAAGAAUGAUAAUAUAUAUUAUAGUAGAUGUUAAUCUUUGUACCUUUUGCAUAAUGGUUUAAUAAUAUUAAUUGUUAUAAUAUCAAGUUCUCGAAAUAAAAAGAUUUAUUUGAUUUAAUAUAUAUAUAUAUAUAUAUAUAUAGUUGACGUGGUAUAGUCAUUAUAUUAAAAGAGGAUGGUAGUGAAAUGCUAUUCGAUUUUUGUGGUAGCUAGUUUAUUUAAAUGAACAUUUAAGUGUAAAAUUUUAAUAGGUUUAUUUAGGUAAUAAUAUUUUAGUGGAUAUAUUGAGGGAUAAGCUUCUUAUAUGUUGUGAGAUAUAUAAUAUAAAUAUUUAAUUAGUUGAAUUAAUUUUGUUUUCUUGUAGGUAAGUUAAGUAUAAAUGUUUAAAUUAAUAUUCUUUAUUUUUUUGAAAUAAAUUUUUUUUAAUUUUUUAAAAUUAAAUAUAAUGUUAAAAUGAGUAUUUAAUAUGAUUAUAUUUAUAUAAAUUGUAUAUAUAUAUAUAGAUUAUAUAUAGUAUGUAAUUAUUUGUAGUAAAUUAAAAUAAAGGAAUUUAGCAAAUAUUGAUUUCGCCUGUUUAUCAAAAACAUGUCUCUUUGAAUUUUUUUAAUAAAGAGUUGGGCCUGCUCAAUGAUUAAUAUUAAAUAGCUGCGGUAUUAUAACUGUACUAAGGUAGCAUAGUAAUUUGCCUUAUAAAUUAGGGCUAGAAUGAAUGGUUUGACGAAAAUUAGACUGUCUCUAUUUUAUUUAUUAGAAAUUAAUUUUUAUAGUGAGAAAGCUUGAAUAAAUUAAAGGGACGAGAAGACCCUAUUGAGCUUAGAAUUAUUAUUUAAUUAAUGUGAUAAUUUAUUUAUUAGUUUAUUGAUAUUUAUUUAUGUAAUUUUGAUUGGGGUGAUCAAGGAAUAAAAGUUUAUAAUAACUUCCUUAGGAUUUUGUAAUUUAUAGAUUAAUAAACCAUAAUUUUGCUUAGAAGAUAAGUUACCAUAGGGAUAACAGCGUAAUUUUUUUUGAGAGUUCAUAUUGAAAGAAAAGAUUGCGACCUCGAUGUUGGAUUAAAUAUAACCUUAAGGUGAAGAAGCUUUAAUAGGUGAAUCUGUUCGAUUUUUAAAAUUUUACAUGAUCUGAGUUCAAACCGGUGAGAGCCAGGUUGGUUUCUAUCUUUUAAAAUUAUUUUUAUUAGAUUUAGUACGAAAGGAUUGAUUAUAAUUAAUACUUGUAAAUUAAUUAAUAUAAAAUGUAAAG